rnacentral:tRNA from 1 species
GGCGGGGUAGCUCAGGCCGGUAGAGCGUCGGACUCAUAAUCCGAAGGUCGCUGGUUCGAAUCCAGCCCCCGCAACCA